rnacentral:SRP_RNA from 1 species
GCUGGUAGCACACACCUGUAGCCCAGGCUACUCAGGAUGCUGAAGCAGGAAGAUCACUUACGUCCAGGAGUUCUAGGCUGUCGUGUGUAGUGCCCAUGCCAAGAGGGGGUCCACACUAAGUUUUGCAUCAAUGCAGGGAAACUACCAGCUUGCCUAAGGAAGGGUGAACAAGCCCAGGUCAGAAACGGAGCAGAUCAAAACUCUGAUGAUGAUUAGUAGUGGGGCUCCACCUGUGAAUAGCCACUGUACUCCAGCCUGGAUGACAAAGCAAGACCCCAUCUUCAU